UCGAUGUUCUGAGAUCACAGCUUGGUUGUUCUCCCAGGGGCAGGACCAGUGCUACCCGGCCUUCCUGCGCUCCAUCGGAGAACAGGAGCGGUACAGAGCCACUGCGAUGCUGAGUCCACAGUGGCAACAGAUACCAACUGGCAUCUCCACGAAAAGUCACAGCUGACCGCCUGGCUGCCAAGAUCUUUGAAUUCCGGCAUUCUUCAGAGACUCUUGGUCACACAUCCCUCAGGCUACUCCCUCCUGGAGGCCGAGUGUACCUCAGGUCCCCACCAUGACCUUGAUGACCAAAUUAUCAGGCUCGCAGAGAACACACACCAUCAAUGAAGUGCCCGUCUCGCUUACUGCAGGAUAUGUGAACAGACAGCAUCACAAUCUACUUAACAAUAUCAAGUUUACUGUGGCUGGGGAUUGAUGAACCAAAGUGAAGUAUGAUAUAUCCACAGGGUGGAAUACUAUGGACUUAUUAAAAUUGACAUGGCAGAAUAAUGAUGCUAUGGAAAGAUG